ensembl:lncRNA
AGGAAAAGCAGCGAGUUAGGCGUGGGGUAGAGGUGUGGGUGAGCUUCCCAGGCAGAGGCGGCAGCACAUGCACAGACUCUGUGGCAGGAGGGUCCAUGGCACCUCCAGGGAACUGAAAGCACGAGAGUGGCUGGGGCCUGGAGACUGAGGAGGGUCUGGAGUGGCUCCAAGUGUAAGCGGGGAACAGUCACACGGAAGCUUGCAAGAUCACUGACGACUCGGGUUUUAUCUAAACAGCCUAGUUACAGGACUCCAUAUGGUUCUGGAAAUACAAAUGUGAAAGGAACAGUCUUUGCUUUUUGGAGUCUACUGGAAGAGAUGGACAUACAAACUAACCUAACCUGACACACUAUUAGGGAAAGUUUCCAUAAGCUGCUGUGAGAGGAAGAAAAAAUACCAGGAAGAUUUUCCAAAGGAAGAGCCAUUGAAGGCUUGAAGGAAGAGUUGAGAUUGCCCAGACACAUGGGUCAACAUGUGUCAUAGAAGGCAGGCAUUAAAAACAUGGCAUAUUUGGAAGAGGGUCGUGAAUGAGUGGAGAAAGAUAAAAGUCUUGCAUCAGGAGGCUUUUUUAUUCCUCAGAGUCUGCAUUUUGGGAUGGAAAAUUGUGUUGGCUAUGCAAGGAGAGACACUAUGAAUGAGAAAUCAUCAGUGUAUCAGAAAACACGCAUCUCUAUGAUCUAUCCUGAAUCCAAAUAGGAAAAAAUGAAAUGAGUGCUUUUCCCCCAUUCAGAAAUCUUUUUUAUUGCACCAUGAAGAAAUAAAUGUCUACCAAAGGGAAAUGAAGAGGAGCUAAGCGGAGAAUCUAAUUGCCCACUUCAAUCACUCCCACACAAAAUGCCUGGCUAAAGGAUGGGCAGGCAGAGCAGCAGCAUUUUGGCAAAAAUUUUAAAUAAAAAGGGAAAAAAUUGUUCCAGCAGGAGUUCUGUAGAAAAAUGGAGACAGCUGCUGCAUUUUCUCCAGCCCGCUAUCUCUUUCAGCCAGACCAAAGACAAUCCAGCUCUUGGCUUAAUUAAUCACUUGCUGGUUAUGAUUGUGGAGGAAAGUGGGGCUCACUAUUGCUCUCUUAGCCUAGGAGCAAAAUUUCCAAAGAGAAGUGGAAUGUGUAUCAAUGGAGGAAAAGAAACUCUUCCCAAGAGACCAGAAUGGGAUUCUUUCUAGUGUUUCCUCCUCAGUGGCUUUCACUUUCAUUUUAAGGCAAGUUUGCACAGAGCCCAUUCUCCAUUCAGUCCAACCUCUAAGCACCCACAUAAACUCAAACUCAGAUUAACAAUACUAUCUCUUUUUUUUUGAGGAAGAUUAGCCCUGAGCUAACAUCUGCUGCCAAUCCUCCUCUUUUUGCUGAGGAAGACUGGCCCUGAGCUAACAUCCAUGCCCAUCUUGCUCUACUUUAUAUGUAGGACGCCUACCAUAGUGUGGCUUGCCAAGCAGUGCCAUGUCCACACCCAGGAUCUGAAACAGCGAACCCCAGACUGCCAAAGCGGAAUGUGCAAACUUAACCUUUGCGCCACCAGGCCGGCCCCUGAUGAAACUGUCUUAAAGUUGUGUCCUAAUCUCUCUUUAAAAUUUCCAAUUCCUCAUUCAAAGAGUUGAUGAGAUUCUCUCUCCUCCAUGAGGUCCUCCUUGAUUAAUUCAGACACCCACAUGAUCUGAACACCUCAGGGCCAGGGUAAACUCAGCCUGAGGAAGAAUCAUGGGACCUCAUGGAGAUCAAUCCUGAGAGUUGAAAGCACAAGGAUAGAGCCAGUCAGAGGCAAGGAAGCC